rnacentral:rRNA from 1 species
CACGUAGGGCGCAAGCGUUGUCCGGAAUUAUUGGGCGUAAAGAGCUCGUAGGCGGUCUGUUGCGUCCGCUGUGAAAACUCGGGGCUUAACCCCGAGCCUGCAGUGGAUACGGGCAGACUAGAGGUAGGUAGGGGAGAAUGGAAUUCCCGGUGUAGCGGUGAAAUGCGCAGAUAUCAGGAGGAGCACCGGUGGCGAAGGCGGGUCUCUGGGCCGAUACUGACGCUGAGGAGCGAAAGCGUGGGGAGCGAACAGG